rnacentral:rRNA from 1 species
UAAGGAAUAUUGGUCAAUGGACGGAAGUCUGAACCAGCCAUGCCGCGUGGAGGAUGAAGGCCCUCUGGGUUGUAAACUUCUUUUAUCUGGGACGAAAUGAUCCUUUUCUAAGGGUUUUGACGGUACCAGGAGAAUAAGCACCGGCUAACUCCGUGCCAGCAGCCGCGGUAAUACGGAGGGUGCAAGCGUUAUCCGGAUUCACUGGGUUUAAAGGGUGCGUAGGCGGACUUGUAAGUCCGUGGUGAAAUCUCCGGGCUUAACCCGGAAACUGCCAUGGAUACUAUGAGUCUUGAAUGUUGUGGAGGUUAGCGGAAUAUGUCAUGUAGCGGUGAAAUGCAUAGAUAUGACAUAGAACACCAAUUGCGAAGGCAGCUGGCUACACAACGAUUGACGCUGAGGC